rnacentral:tRNA from 1 species
AUUACCUUAGUUUAAUUAGAACGUUUGACUUGCACUCAUUUAGUGAGACCCCUCUCAGGUGAU